UGAGUACGAGACGCUAAGGCGUUGAAGCAGUCUAUGUCAGACCUCCAAGAAAAGCUCGCAAUGUCAUAAACAACAGAUGCCUGUACCAUAACCGACACAGGUGGGUAGGUAGAGUAUACUAAGGGGCGCGAGAUAACUCUCUCUAAGGAACUCGGCAAAAUGACUCCGUAACUUCGGGAGAAGGAGUGCCUUCUUGAAGAAGGUUGCAAUAACAAGAUCCAAGCAACUGUUUACCAAAAACACAGGUCUCCGCUAAGUCGUAAGACGAUGUAUGGGGGCUGACGCCUGCCCAGUGCCAGAAGGUUAAAGAAGUUGGUUAGCCUAGCAAAGCUGAUGACUGAAGCCCUGGUGAACGGCGGCCGUAACAAUAACGGUCCUAAGGUAGCGAAAUUCCUUGUCGGGUAAGUUCCGACCCGCACGAAAGGCGUAAUGAUCUGGAUACUGUCUCGGAGAGGGGCUCGGUGAAAUAGACUUGUCUGUGAAGAUGCGGACUACCUGCACCUGGACAGAAAGACCCUAUGAAGCUUUACUGUAACUUGAGAUUGAAAUUGGACUUUAUUUGCGCAGUAGUAGUGGGAGACUUUGAGAAUAUUCUUGCGGGAAUAGUGGAGUCAUCAGUGAGAUACCACUCUUGUAAUGUUAGAUUUCUAACUUUGGAUCAUUAUCUGGUCAAAGGACAGUUUCAGGCGGGCAGUUUGACUGGGGCGGUCGCCUCCCAAACGGUAACGGAGGCGCACAAAGGUUUCCUCUGAACGUGUAGAAAUCGUAUCUAGAGUGUAAAGGCAUAAGGAAGCUUGACUGUGAGACCUACAAGUCGAGCAGGGACGAAAGUCGGUCUUAGUGAUCUGACGGUGCUGAGUGGAAAGGCCGUCACUCAACGGAUAAAAGUUACUCUAGGAUAACAGGCUGAUCUCCCCCAAGAGUUCACAUCGACGGGGAGGUUUGGCACCUCGAUGUCGGCUCAUCGCAUCCUGGGGCGGUAGUACGUCCCAAGGGUUGGGCUGUUCGCCCAUGAAAGCGGUACGCGAGCUGGGUUCAGAACGUCGUGAGACAGUUCGGUCCAUAUCCGGUGUAGGCGUUAGAAUAUUGAGAGGAGCCUUCUUUAGUACGAGAGGACCGAGAAGGACAUACCUCUGGUGUACCAGUUAUCGUGCCAACGGUAAACGCUGGGUAGCUAUGUAUGGAGUGGAUAACCGCUGAAAGCAUCUAAGUGGGAAGCCCACCUCAAGAUAAG
rnacentral:rRNA from 1 species